CAGAUGAUCACAUGCGUCUUCAUCGCUGCUCGCCAUCGCCGGCCACCGGGGUUGCCGCUGAUGCGAUUCGAUCCAGUGGGAACUUUUGUCACCUUGCCUCUUCUCUCUUUCCUAACACUCAAAUCUCUCCUCAGCCUUCAGAUAGAUAGUCUUUGAAGCAAACCAAAGGUGAAAACUGUUCUGCAGUUGGUGAUGACAAGAAGAAUCACAAGCUUUUGACUUAUGUUUGAGAAUCAUCAUGGGACAAGGCUUCCGCAAUCGAAAUGGGACUUUUUCAGCAGCAUCCUAGAAAGACUCUUUGCCUUUAUCGCUUCACCUAGACAACGAGCAAGGAUAACUCCAUCCUCCAUGGCUGAGCAACCUCCUUGUCCGAUAUCAGGAGUCAUUGGGUGAAGUGCAUCUCCUGCAACGCACACGUUGUCUUUUGUGAUGUUUGACCAUAGCAGUUCCCAUGGAGGUCGGUACUUCAGUUGAGACAUCACCAUGCUAUCAAGAUCAGUGGUCUCCACCACAUUCUUAAUGUUUUCAGGCAAGUCUUUGAUCUUGUUCAGCACAAACUCUUUGAGGAUUUCCGAAUUUGUCUCCUCAUCUAACAAGCGCAAGGAGAAGAGUCAAAGACAGUAGUAUGAUAUGAACAAGAAGCUGCUUGUAGUUAGAUAUUAGAUAUCAGGUAAAGUUGCAUAUCUUCACCUAUAUCAGUGGAGGUGUGGGUUAGGAACCAGUAGACAGUGUUGUGGUCACAUGGGAUAAAACCGGAACGAACGCCGUCUCCAUAAAACUGGAAGAACCUUUUCCCAAAUCCAUGGCCUUCCGGAAAAUGUGUGAGCCCUCGGAUUGCUAACCGGGCAGUUGUAGCGGGAUUUUUGAAGCCUAGCCACUUACCAACCACUGAGUACACUCCAUCGCACCCUACCAAAACCUGCAUUUCGUUUAGAAACCCUACAAUUCCGUAGCAAGACCAGGCCUCACAUGGUUUACAGAGGACAAGUAGUUAUUUACCUUGGUUUUGAGAAUGGUCCCGUCGGAGAGAUGAACCUUCUUGUAGCAUCCAGACAAUUCAAUAUGAACAACCUUAGACGAAAACCUGAUGGUCUCUUCAGGCAACUCACCUGCUAGAGCCUCUAACAACAGCUUCCUCUAGAAGAAGAAACAUACUCGGAUUCUGGAAACAGCAUCUCUGUGGGAGGAGUUCCUGCAGAAAUUGUUCCAACCACCCAUCUGCAGCAAAAUCAAAGAUGAGUCCCCUUUUUUACUGAGCUGAUUAUAUAUGAAUAGUAAUAAUAGUGUUAGUUUGAUACCCUUCAAGGCGAUCAUGGAGACUGCGAAUAUGCUGAGAAACGCCGAGAGCUUCCAUGGCCUUCCAAGCAUUGAACCAAGUGGUAAAUGCAAAUCCUGUCGCUCUCAGUGUCUCCGAAGAUUCCAGCACCAUGCUUCUGAUCCCAAGCCUGUGACACACACCACUUUAGUUAACUUACUCUGCUUAAUAACAACUCAAAAGGCACGCCACACACACCUGUGUAGUCCAACAGCGGUGGAAAGGCCGGAGAUACCGGCGCCAACGAUGAUGAUAUCUGGGCUGCCUUCUUCUUCCAUGGUGCGUUGAUGAUCUUAGAAAGAAAGCUCUGUUUUUCUUCCUCUCUAGUAUUUAUUUUUAACUUUCAAGUAAACAAAAAGAAAUGUGGUUGAAGUUGGCAAGUCAAACAAGGCACCCCGUUCUAGGCAGGCGGCUACAGUCAUCAAAUAUCGAAUCUUUAAUAGUAUUUAUAUGUUGUCACACUUUAUCCCGUUCUAGCUAGGGCGCAAAUAAUUGUACAUUAUAAAUUUAUAAACGUGCAAACAGAGAUACAC